AAUUUUCCGCAAUGGGCGAAAGCCUGACGGAGCAAUACCGCGUGAGGGAGGAAGGUUUUUGGAUUGUAAACCUCUUUUUUAAAGGAAGAAGAAAGUGACGGUACUUUAAGAAUCAGCAUCGGCUAACUCCGUGCCAGCAGCCGCGGUAAUACGGAGGAUGCAAGCGUUAUCCGGAAUCAUUGGGCGUAAAGCGUCCGCAGGCGGUUCAUCAAGUCUGCUGUUAAAGACAGAAGCUCAACUUCUGAUAGGCAGUGGAAACUGGUGAACUAGAGUACGGUAGGGGUUGAGGGAAUUCCCAGUGUAGCGGUGAAAUGCGUAGAUAUUGGGAAGAACACCAGUGGCGAAGGCGCUCAACUGGGCCGUAACUGACACUCAGGGACGAAAGCUAGGGGAGCGAAAGGGAUUAGAUACCCCUGUAGUCCUAGCUGUA
rnacentral:rRNA from 1 species